rnacentral:rRNA from 1 species
CACAGUGAACGCUAGCGGCGUGGUUAAGACAUGCAAGUCGAACGAUGAAGCCCAGCUUGCUGGGCGGAUUAGUGGCAUACGGGUGCGUAACACGUGAGCAACCUGCCUUGAAGUGGGGAAUAGCCCGGGGAAACCCGGAUUAAUACCGCAUGUGGUCUCUUUUCGCAUGAAAAGACGACUAAAGUUUGUAAUGACUCUUCAAGAGGGGCUCGCGGCCUAUCAGCUUGUUGGUGAGGUAAAAGCUCACCAAGGCAAAGACGGGUAGCUGGUCUGAGAGGAUGAUCAGCCACACUGGAACUGAGAUACGGUCCAGACACCUACGGGUGGCAGCAGUUUCGAAUCAUUCACAAUGGGGGAAACCCUGAUGGUGCAACGCCGCGUGGAGGAUGACGGCCUUCGGGUUGUAAACUCCUGUCACCAAGGAACAAACGGCAGGUUCAUAGCCUGUCCUGAGUUAACUUGGAGAGGAAGAGGUGGCUAACUCCGUGCCAGCAGCCGCGGUAAUACGGAGACCUCGAGCGUUACUCGGAUUCACUGGGCGUAAAGAGUAUGUAGGCGGUUUGGUAUGUCAGGUGUGAAAGCCCGAAGCUCAACUUCGGAAUUGCGCCUGAAACUACCGGACUUGAGGCCUGGAGAGGGGAGUGGAAUUCCUGGUGUAGCGGUGAAAUGCGUAGAUAUCAGGAGGAACACCAAUGGCGAAGGCAGCUCCCUGGACAGGUUCUGACGCUGAGAUACGAAAGCGUGGGUAGCGAAAGGGAUUAGAUACCCCUGUAGUCCACGCCGUAAACGUUGUACACUAGGUUUCGGAGGGCCUACCCCUUCGGAGCUCAAGCUAACGCGAUAAGUGUACCGNCUGAGGACUACGGCCGCAAGGCUAAAACUCAAAGGAAUUGACGGGGGCCCGCACAAGCGGUGGAGCAUGUGGCUUAACUCGAUGCAACGCGAAGAACCUUACUAGGGUUGACAUGAACCGGACGAUU